rnacentral:tRNA from 1 species
GAGAGGUUUAAAAGACCUGCUAACUCUUCAAUCUGGUAGAUACCAGCCCUCUCU